rnacentral:rRNA from 1 species
UACGUAGGUGGCGAGCGUUGUCCGGAUUUACUGGGCGUAAAGAGCGCGCAGGCGGUCGUACAAGUCGCGUGUGAAAGCCCCCGGCUCAGCUGGGGAGGGUCACGCGAUACUGUUCGACUCGAAGGCAGGAGAGGGUAGUGGAAUUCCCGGUGUAGUGGUGAAAUGCGUAGAUAUCGGGAGGAACACCAGUGGCGAAGGCGGUUGCCUGGGGCUUUGCUGACGCUGAUGCGCGAAAGCGUGGGGAGCGAUCCGG